rnacentral:tRNA from 1 species
GGUCGCGUAGCUCAGUUGGAUAGAGCGCCAGAUUCCGAAUCUGGGGGUCGGGGAUUCGAGUUCCUCCGCGAUCGCCA